GACGAACGCUGGCGGCGUGCUUUACACAUGCAAGUCGAACGGUGAAGGUGGAGCUUGCUCCGCCGGAUCAGUGGCGAACGGGUGAGUAACUCGUGGGCAACCUGCCCCUAACUUUGGGAUAACUACUCGAAAGAGUAGCUAAUACCGGAUACGAAGUCUGUAGGCAUCUACGGAUUUGGAAAGUUUUUCGGUUAGGGAUGGGCCCGCGGCCUAUCAGCUUGUUGGUGAGGUAGUGGCUCACCAAGGGGACGACGGGUAGCCGGCCUGAGAGGGCGACCGGCCACACUGGGCGUGAGACACGGCCCAGACUCCUACGGGAGGCAGCAGUGGGGAAUAUUGCGCAAUGGGCGAAAGCCUGACGCAGCAACGCCGCGUGCGGGAUGAAGGCCUUUGGGUUGUAAACCGCUUUCAGCAGGGAAGAAGCGAAAGUGACGGUACCUGCAGAAGAAGCACCGGCUAACUACGUGCCAGCCGCCGCAGUAA
rnacentral:rRNA from 1 species